rnacentral:rRNA from 1 species
CAGUAGCCGCGGUAAAACGUAGGUGGCAAGCGUUGUCCGGAAUUAUUGGGCGUAAAGGGCUCGCAAGCGGUUUCUUAAGUCUGAUGUGAAAGCCCCCGGCUCAACCGGGGAGGGUCAUUGGAAACUGGGAAACUUGAGUGCAGAAGAGGAGAGUGGAAUUCCACGUGUAGCGGUGAAAUGCGUAGAGAUGUGGAGGAACACCAGUGGCGAAGGCGACUCUCUGGUCUGUAACUGACGCUGAGGAGCGAAAGCGUGGGGAGCGAACAGGAUUAGAUACCCCCGUAGUCCCUGUCUCUUAUAC